ACGGAAGGCAGCAGUGGGGAAUAUUGCACAAUGGGCGAAAGCCUGAUGCAGCGACGCCGCGUGAGCGAUGAAGUAUUUCGGUAUGUAAAGCUCUAUCAGCAGGGAAGAAUAAUGACGGUACCUGACUAAGAAGCACCGGCUAAAUACGUGCCAGCAGCCGCGGUAAUACGUAUGGUGCAAGCGUUAUCCGGAUUUACUGGGUGUAGAGGGAGCGCAGGCGGUACGGCAAGUCUGAUGUGAAAGCCCGGGGCUCAACCCCGGUACUGCAUUGGAAACUGUCGAACUAGAGUGUCGGAGGGGUAAGUGGAAUUCCUAGUGUAGCGGUGAAAUGCGUAGAUAUUAGGAGGAACACCAGUGGCGAAGGCGGCUUACUGGACGAUAACUGACGCUGAGGCUCGAAAGCGUGGGGAGCAAACAGGAUUAGAUACCCUGGUA
rnacentral:rRNA from 1 species